AGGCUACAUAAUGAAAACUUCAUUCUUGAUUCUAUGAGAAUUUUUAUGAAAGCGUUUCAUUUGCUUCUCUUCAAUGAAAGUUUCAUUUUUGCAUAAUGUAUCCUAAGUUUUGGCCUAAUUCUUCUGAUGAUGAUCGAUUCAACCUCUGAUAAAAAAGAUAGACCUUGGUUCUAUUUCGUCUCUCCAACAAGUUUAGUAAUAAGCAUAACAGCCCUAUUGUUACGAUGA
rnacentral:rRNA from 1 species